rnacentral:rRNA from 2 species
UGGGGAAUAUUGGACAAUGGGGGCAACCCUGAUCCAGCCAUGCCGCGUGAGUGAAGAAGGCCUUAGGGUUGUAAAGCUCUUUCGACGGGGACGAUGAUGACGGUACCCGUAGAAGAAGCCCCGGCUAACUUCGUGCCAGCAGCCGCGGUAAUACGAAGGGGGCAAGCGUUGUUCGGAUUUACUGGGCGUAAAGGGCGCGUAGGCGGAUGCGUAAGUCAGAGGUGAAAGCCCUGGGCUCAACCCGGGAAUUGCCUUUGAGACUGCGUGUCUUGAGUAUGGGAGAGGGUGGCGGAAUACCCAGUGUAGAGGUGAAAUUCGUAGAUAUUGGGUAGAACACCAGUGGCGAAGGCGGCCACCUGGCCCAUAACUGACGCUGAGGCGCGAAAGCGUGGGGAGCAAACAGG